rnacentral:lncRNA from 1 species
UGGGGGGGAACUUUUGUAAAUCAAAGGAGAACAUAUUAAAGAAAUUAAUUUUAAGUGGGUAUUACUGGAUAUAUAAAAGACCAGAACAACUUAGGUUCUUCUGGGACUGUUUAAUAUUAUUUUUUUUAAAAACAGAAUGUUCUGGGCACCUCUCUGUACUCUGAAAUGCAUGUGUGUUAGGGUGGGGGUGGGGGGAGUUGUGGGCCCUCACUUGGUCCUUCUCUUGUUUUUUCCAGGACAAAGCCAGAGUUCCCUUGUUAGCUGGCCACCCUUGCCCCCUUUUUUCCUCUGGUCCUUUUCCCCAUG